AAUGAAUAAUUAUUUCAAUCUUUUCAACUAUCACAAAUACGUUUCUAAUAUUUCACUUGGUUGGUUGAAAGAAUGAUUAAAAGUAUCUAGUAUAAAUUAAAUUAAUUGGACAAAUUUGCAUAUCUCUACGAGAGAUGCAUGUUUCUCCAGAUGAGAAUCACUGUAAAGCAACGCGUAUACACAAGUAUGCGCAUAGAAAUAGUAUGCAUCCACCCACACGUUGAUGGCACACGACUCGCGUGCCAUAUAUUUCCUUUCGUAGAAUAAAAGCACCCUCUUUCCACAGAGUCGUUCAUCCUUGCCUAGAAACCGGUCCAGAUGCAGCGGAUUUAAGUUGCAUAUCAGCUGCCUCGUUCUUCGUAUAUAUGUAUAUGUACUCCGAGAAACAUAUUUCCUUUCUCAAAUAAUGUACAAUAUUUCUCCGUAGUUCUUCGUAUUUUAAGUGCACGGGGCAGUAACAAACGGUACACAAAUGAUAAAGCAAGUAUAAACUUCGAUCGAAAUUUCGCGAAUAUUAAAUAAUAAAUCAAGGGACGAACGUUCGAUUAUUAAAAAUUAAUCGAAUCGAGCGAAACGAUAUAUAUAUAUAUUACAACAAGAAGCGUUCGAAUCAUUGAUUUACUUAAGAAUCUUUGAAUCUUCUCAUAGGGACACGCGCUUCCCUUAAUAAGGAAUAGCACGCGUGCCACGUGUUUCCAGAGGAAUAAGUUCACCCUUCUUCUGCUGUCACCCUCCAAAAAAAAAGUAGAGUUUAACAGCUUCUUCUCGUGAAAGGAUCUCUCACACGUGCGAUAUAUCUCGAAGGGGUAUCAAUAUUGGUAUUCCACGAGCCGAAGUUCGCCGUUAUUGAAAUCUCUUGACCCGGUAAUCGACGACAUAGUGUCGAACAAUCCUUAAGAUAUCGACGUCUCGUGUAUCGAAUUAUUUCUUCGAUUAUCUCUCGAUAUAUCAAACG